CUCAGUUACUGGUCUCCCACUACAACUAAAUUACUGGUCUCCCCACUAUAACUAAUUUACUGGUCUCCCCACUACAACUCAGUUACUGGUCUCCCCAAUACAACUCAGUUACUGGUCUCCCCACUACAACUCAGUUACUGGUCUCCCCACUACAACUCAGUUACUGGUCACCCCACUACAACUCAGAUACUGGUCUCCCCACUACAACUCAGUUACGGGUCUCCCCACUACAACUCAGUUACGGGUCUCCCCACUACAACUCAGUUACUA
rnacentral:lncRNA from 1 species